rnacentral:lncRNA from 1 species
AUCCAGCCUCUGCUGCAUCCACGGAAACAAACCGGCACCUUGAAAGUUUAGAGAAUUGACUCCUUGGUCUCCAGGUCCACCUCUCAGCCACAUUAGCCCAUUAGUUGUCUCGUCUCUGCCAUCUGUAAACACAUGACCCUUUGUAAACACGGGAAACAAGGAAGUGUCCUCAAAACAAUGAAACCUAGGAAACUUAUUCCAUUGUGUUUCUGGACAUGAAGAAUGGGUGUAAUAUGAACCAAAGAACACAUGUGGCUAGCAGACAAAAAAUGUAAGCAUUCAAAUUCGACUACUUUCUAAGAAAAAGAAAAUACAUUGUUUGAAAAUUGUCCUUUUUGAGAUGGAGGGAAAAGUAAAGGAGAAAUGUAUGCAUGAAUGUAAAAUUGCAACAAAUAUGUCUUCACUUCAAAAAUGAAAAUUUUGUUUUCUUACACCCAAUCAUAACAUUAGUGUCAUCGUAAUAUUUCAACAAUGUACAUCAACAAUCAGAAGGGAGAUAAUGGGAAAUCAGUAUUGAGAAAACAUGUACCAAGAAAAGAUGAGGAGCCAGGAUGCCAUGGACGUUUCAAUCUGAGGGGAAAUAGUGAUGGAUACAUCGGAAAUGUUGUUAAAGGCUCAAUUUCCCACAAUGACACCCGUGGCUGUCUCUCUCCUGCUGUGGAUUCAUCCCAACCAACCUAUGCACAGGGAUUGUAAAACAGGGUAAAGCAAAAAAAUGGGCUCAUGAAGGAUGCAGAGUCCAGAGUCUUGGACAUUGAAUUUAAUUUGUCAGUAACAAGCAUGGAAUAGAAUACAAAAAAUUAUGUUGCAGCAAACCUAAUGAUUUGAUGAAGAAAAGGGAACACAACUAAAUUAUGUACAACAACAAAAAAGCCAUUUUCCGCUAGAGGGGCUCAACUUCAAGGAUCAUACGACAUCAUUGUAAUCUUAUUUAAUUUAAAUCUAUAUUUUCAAAAUUGCAUUUAAAACAAAGUUCUUUUCAAUUAAGGCUAAUCAACUCAUCUUAUUGAGGCUUUUAAUGUCAUUUUCCGCAGGUCCACAUCUGCUGUCUCUAUCCUUUGUGCCACUCCAUGUGGCAGGAAAUAUGAUUGGCCAGAAAAAUAUUUAAUAAUUGUAAUUUUAACUUAAAUAAUUUUUUUCAACCAAUCAGAAGUAAUGAUACAUAGAGUGGUAUAAAAAGUGAGACAGCAAAUGUACUCCCAUUUUCCGCACAUGGCUAAUCCACCAGACAAGGUCCAUUUUCUCUCUCUAAUGUAUUAACUCUGAAUCAUAUCUUCUCUUGUAUAUCCACUCAUCCAACAGAACAUCUCCAUCUCCGCAACACCAUGCUUAUGCUGGCUAGCUUUUUACCGCCUAACAUUCAAUAUUUACAAAAUGGCAUCAACUCUUCGGUAAGAACCAGAUCCUUGUAAAUCAACCGCAGGAAGUUGGUAUGUCUCAAUGCAACGCACCUGCCUAGAGGCACUUUGCUAAAACAAAUAACAUCUGAAGCAUUUUCUUUUACCUCAUUAUCUCGUUAAACAAUUUCGCGCCAGAUUAAACUUUUCUCUCCUAGGUAUUUCCACACCCUAAUAGGUAUAUUAUCUAGUUCAACUGUUUUACUAUUAUCCAUCCUCAUUAGUGCUUCUUUUACCAAACACUCUUGAAUUCUACAAUAAAAGGUAUAACUUUGGUCUUCUUCUCCAGUGUUAAGAAUAUCAAAGUUCAAUAAUGUCCCGAGUCCUUCAUUAAACAACUGGUGAAAAUAACCUAUCAGAGUCUAGUUAAUAUUAUGUAGCUUAAACAAGGCCCACGUGCCAGCUGUGUAGCUCGCUAACCACUUACUAUAAAUAAUGGUUAGCAUUCUGUAAUCACUGAAUUGAAUCACUAACAGAAAAGAGAAAACAGAUUCAGUUAUCAUUCACCCUCCCUCUUCUGUCUCUAUGCUUUCAAUUUCUAACAUAACCUCAUAAUCUCGUACAAAGGGUUGGGAAGGGGGAGGGAGGGAAGGGAAAAUGAAGGAAAUCCUCUCCCUUGUUUUGGAGUAUAAGAUUUAGAAGAGGAGGGUAAACCAAUGAUAAUGUAAGAAUAUUUUUUAUUUUUCCUUUAAAAAUGUAAUUAAUAAUGAGAAAUGGACAAUAAUGUAUAAUUAUAUAAUAUUACUAAAAAUAUUUAGCUAUUUUGACAUUUUAUCUCAAAAAAUCCCAAAUUGGGAGAACAUUAAAAUUAGACACAUGGAGGGAGAAACCCUCCAAAACCUUCCCCUCUCCUUCAUCCAACUCCCAAACAACCCUUCCCUUCCAAAACCUCAAAAUCUCAAACAAAGCCUAAAUAAAUAUUCCUUUCUCAUCAUCAUUCACCACCUUCUUAGUAUAUCUCUUAUCUACCUCAUAUUUUUUGCAAUACAAAUAAAUGAUGUGAAACAUGAUUACAAGUCUUGAAAAUUUUAUUCAUUAACCAGUCACAAUUCACAACUUUCACAAGAUUAUCCUUCUUAGUUCUUAGUCCUUAUGCAAAGCCUACGGAACAAGUCUAUAAGUUCCCACGGGAGGGCUACAUGUACACAUUUAUCUGUAAGUGGAGAGCAAGAGUGGCUGUUCCAUGAGUAGAAUCCAUGGUCACAAGACAGCGUCAAUAUUAUUAAGCCAAGCCUUACUCUUAUGUUUAUAAUUGCAAAGUAGCAAUAACUUUCAUUAAAUGACAAAAGGUGUCAUAUAAACCACUAUCUAAUCUUAUGUAUCACAUUGUGAUCUUACUUACCUUGACUGAUCGCCAAUGAGAAUUCGGCCAACGAACAGGAUCCAAGUCACUUAUGCCAGUUAUAGUACCCAUGUACCUGCAAAAAAAGGUGACUUGUGCAUAAGGUAUAAUAGUUUGGUGUCACACUACCAAAGAAUAGCAUUUGGCACUCAAUUUUCACCACCUUUAUAUUGAAAACCACCAUUUUGUUUUAUCUCAAUCCCAAAAUCCCAGACUACCACUGCCAUCAUACUGCAACUGCUAACUAUUUUUUCUGCUCAAUGCUCACAUCCCAAAAUUUUAAGCUCAUUUUUAUAAUUAAUCAAUUGACUCCUCCUAAUUACUGUAGAGGGUAGAUGGAUUUUAUAGGCAUAAAUCCCAUCAUCAAUAAAAUUGCCUCCUUAGAAAGUAUUGAUGCAGAUGCCAUACCAAACUCUUUAUAGGUAAGCCAUUUUAGAGGGGACAACCUCUGUAACAUACAUUUAUAAGUUACAGCUAUAUUUACCUUUGCAAAAUUCAGUUAAGUGGUCUAAUAAGAGGUGCAGGAAACAUGUCUACAAUUUAAGAGGAAAGAAACACGAGGCACUUAAGAAAAAACAUUUAAUGGCUACAAGUACCUACGGACACUUGACUCUUCAGUCUCAAAAAGCAUCCUAAAGCGCAUGCCAACAGAAACACGUGUAUGGUACACGGCUUUAAUAUAUUUUGAUAGUGGAAUGACGAACUCGGAUGGGCUAGCCCUGCCAAGAUAUAGGUGUCAAAUGAAGGACAAAUUCUAAUAAAGAAGCCAAAGAAAUGGAAAUUUUGACAAUAUUCACAACCUUGGAUUAUAGAACACUGUAAAGCAGCUAUUGGUUGCUGCAGCAUGGGCAGCAGCAGCAAGAAGCCCAAUGUGCAUACUAUCACUUGAUAGAACUGACGAUGGCAUCACAGUUUGUGGCCGAUUGGCACGACGUAUUCCCAAAAGAAGCUGAUUUUUUUCAUUCCUAAAAAUGAAGAAACAUAGAAAACAAUAACACAAGCAGUUUGCAACUUCCAAGGAGAGAAAAAGGAUGCCAAAAAAGGUAAAAGGAAAUAAAAUAUACCAUAUGAAAAGUACAGAAUCUCCAGCAACAAGCCUUUUUGCACUAACAAAUACACUCCAUCCUGUUGUAAGAAGGUGCCGUUUUGGCUGCCCUGAAAUGAUAUGCAAGGAAUAAGAUAUCAUCUUGUGCAGAAAAUGCAGCUUAUUAAAAAUUCAGAAGUCAAAUAUAAUUAGUGAUGGUAGUAGUCUAGAAACAGUGUCCUGAGAAUCUGCACCAGUGCUAUUCAUCCUUUGACCUGAACGUUGAAGGAUUGCACCGCUUGCUCUCACAUUUUCUGAAUAUCUUCGGGGGAAAGUAUUUUGAUAUACCAAACGUUAUUCACGAAUGAUCUGCAGGAGUUUAUGCAGAAAAUCAACACACCAAAAACCAGAAUGUCAAGAAAGUUUAAUCAAUAGAAAUAGCUAUAUUAUGUACUUAUUAAAAUAUACACUAAAGAAAAGUAUCCACUUACUCCCACGGAUCGUCUCCAAGGAGAAGAACAUCAUUCUCCCUGUCGACGAAUACAAGCUGCCAGCCUGAUCUAAGAGGAUCUUCUAAUUUCCCCUCAAUCGCAAACAUCUGAGCCAAUUCCUCUCGCAGCUCAUGAUAGCUGUUGAACCGAGAGAUGUCGAGUGAACGCCCAACUGAUCCUGAUUUGUAAACCUGUGAAAAGACAAUGUUAAACUACCAUAUUAAAUAAAAGGACAAGUUGCACCAAGACUAAAGGUUAUAAUUCAAACCUUCACAAAUGUUCGUGUCUGGUUUUGAGGGUCAAGUUGCCCCGGACUUUGCAACAACUCUGAUGAGUCUUGCAUGCAACCAUAAAGAGAAUCCUGGAAUCCAGAUUCCACUAAUGGCAUUGUCGAUGAAUCAGUGUCAGCUGAUGAAGUAAUAUAACGAGGGACAGUGGUGGGAAGAAGAAGGCCAGAUGAAUCGAUAUUGACACCAAAGAGAGUAGAAUUUUGGGAAUCUGAAUUGCAAUGUGGUGACACCAUUGUAGCAUCUUUUCCAGAAUAUUGCACGUGUGACACUGAGUUGCCGAAGGGAAUGACCUGUAGAGGUGUACACUCGAGCGCCCAUGAUUGUUGUUGUAACUGUUGUUCAGUUAGCAUGGACUGGGCACUUCUGGAUAAAUUCAAGAGAUUACCACUCCCUUCAGGACAAAGUGACCCAAGCAUGUUUUGUCCUGGCGAAACUGAAGCAGCGGAUAACUUCAUGCUUGAAUCAAAGAAAUCCGGUUUUGAAUAUGAUGGUGAAGGCAGAUUAGAGUGUUGCCUCUGAUGGAGCUGUUCAGUUUGAAUUAAAAGUGAAUCUUGAUAAGUGUGUUGCUGCUGCUGUGCCUGGUCUUCUCGAUUGAUUGGUGGUUUCAGAAGGAGCUGCUGCGACAGGUUCUCAGUCAAUACUUGGGCUUGUGGUUGCAGAAUAUUAGGAGACACUGAUUGCUGAAUCACUUGUUGCUUCUGAAGCUGCAACGGAGGGUUAGAGUUUCCUGAUUGUUGAAGAUAGAAAGGCUGUUGAAAAUUCAUCAUUUGUUGCCUCAAGAGAUCUCCGCUUCCUAAGUUCUGCAAACCAGCUGCUGCUGACAUGGCUUGAUACUGCUGAUUCUGAUCAUUUCCAAGCAUAGUUGGAUCCAGCCUCUGCUGCAUCCAUGGAAACAAACCGGCACCUUGAAAGUUUAGGGAAUUGACUCCUUGGUCUCCAGGUCCACCUCUCAGCCACAUUAGCCCAUUAGUUGUCUCGUCUCUGCCAUCUGUAAACACAUGACCCUUUGUAAACACGGGAAACAAGGAAGUGUCCUCAAAACAAUGAAACCUAGGAAACUUAUUCCAUUGUGUUUCUGGACAUGAAGAAUGGGUGUAAUAUGAACCAAAGAACACAUGUGGCUAGCAGACAAAAAAUGUAAGCAUUCAAAUUCGACUACUUUCUAAGAAAAAGAAAAUACAUUGUUUGAAAAUUGUCCUUUUUGAGAUGGAGGGAAAAGUAAAGGAGAAAUGUAUGCAUGAAUGUAAAAUUGCAACAAAUAUGUCUUCACUUCAAAAAUGAAAAUUUUGUUUUCUUACACCCAAUCAUAACAUUAGUGUCAUCG